rnacentral:rRNA from 1 species
AGGUGCCGCAGCAAUGCGGUCUCAGCAAAGAGUCCCUCCCGACUGUUUACCAAAAACACAGCACUUUGCCAACUCGUAAGAGGAAGUAUAAGGUGUGACGCCUGCCCGGUGCUCGAAGGUUAAGAGGAUGCGUCAGUCGCAAGAUGAAGCGUUGAAUUGAAGCCCGAGUAAACGGCGGCCGUAACUAUAACGGUCCUAAGGUAGCGAAAUUCCUUGUCGGUUAAAUACCGACCUGCAUGAAUGGCGUAACGAGAUGGGAGCUGUCUCAACCAGAGAUUCAGUGAAAUUGUAGUGGAGGUGAAAAUUCCUCCUACCCGCGGCAAGACGGAAAGACCCCGUGGACCUUUACUACAACUUAGCACUGCUAAUGGGAAUAUCAUGCGCAGGAUAGGUGGGAGGCUUUGAAGUAAGGGCUUUGGCUCUUAUGGAGCCAUCCUUGAGAUACCACCCUUGAUGUUUCUGUUAGCUAACUGGCCUGUGUUAUCCACAGGCAGGACAAUGCUUGGUGGGUAGU